rnacentral:lncRNA from 1 species
CGGCGACAACGGCCUUCUCCUACGUCCCUCCCCACCUCUGUCGGUCUUCUAGCCGGUAAGAACUGCCUCUUCCUUUUCCUCUCCCUUUCCUCAUCCAUCAAUUUCUGAAUGUUUAGGAUUAGGGUUCUUAUUUUUUUAGGAGCGGGGCAAAGGAAGAGGAAGAAGGCCAAGAAGACAGGAAAGGUGGAGCUCCUCGUUGAUCUCAAGCGCAAAAUUUGGGGUUCGGCCUGAACAAGAGCCCUCAUUCUGUCCGAUAAAAAAGCGCCCUUAUUCUUUAUGCGGUUCAUCCUCACUUCAUUUGGUCUUCUAUUGAAACUGCGAACAUACUGUUGCUUGCUUCGUCAGUUACGAAUUUUUCAGGGAAAAAUAAGCUGUUUGGCAGUCUGUUGCUUCUGCGAAAAGGUGCCUUUUUGAAAAAAAUAUUAUGAAGGAAUUGAUGGCAAAGUAUAUUUGCGUUGAUGUUGUGGUAGUGGCUUAUGUAGACCAUGUUUGUUUCAGUAGGCAGUGCUGCAUAGAAGCACUAUCUCUGCAGCCUAAAGUCGCUGCAUUAUGUUGCACUGAUGUGUUCUUUCUUCUUUUUGUUUUUCUCCUAAGAUUUGGUGUUUCUUCUUUUCUGAAUAAAAAUAACACUAGAUUAUGGAUAUUUUUAGCGAAUAAGAAGUGCAAUCGUUGUUAUGACUUGAAUCCCGAAUGCCAGUGCAGUAAUUAAUUAGAUUCUUGGAGCCUAGUUCAAUCUCGUAUGCUCUUCUACCGACUGAAAGUAUUCAGUCAUGCUUAUUUUAAAUCAUUUCUCAUUGUAGUUCAUAUACCUCUCCGUGGAUCAC